rfam:Haemonchus contortus, ISE/inbred ISE, WGS project CAVP01000000 data, contig: Hcontortus_33602
CGUAGUGUACCUGUAAACACACUGGGCUUUGAAUCCAGUAACACGAGUUAGAAUCUCGUCG